UCCGCCAUGGCGCAAUUGGUUAGCGCGUCUGACUGUUAAUCAGGAGGCUGUAAGUUCGAGUCUUACUGGCGGAG
rfam:Stachybotrys chlorohalonata IBT 40285 unplaced genomic scaffold scaffold1813, whole genome shotgun sequence.